rnacentral:lncRNA from 1 species
UUUUUUUUUUUGGCAUUCAUCUCCUGACUACAAUCAGUUUUCAGGAGCAGAACACAAUCUUGGCGAAGCCCAUCAGUAUAUUCUAUACCUGAUGGUAGUUACUGGUUUAAGGACAGCAUGUGACCCAAGGGAGUCUAGUAGAAACGAAUUUCAGGACUGCUCCUAGCAGUUUUAGGGCACAGAUUGUGUCUUGCCCUAAAUACGCAAGGUCACACGUCGCAGCCAUUUUGCUCCCUGAGGAAAGCCUGCAGAAGAGUGAAAUUCCAACAUGGAGAUGUAAAGGGCUAAACAAAGAGAGGCAGAGGGAGUCUUGAGCAAAGUGGGCCUAAAUUAUCAAGUUAAAUUAUUUUACUGUUCAAGGCAUUAUCCCUUUCCCUGCAAAUAAAACAUAUAUACCUAAUGAAUUCAGUAAAUGUUCACUGAGCACAUGCUAUGUGCUAGGUUCUAGGAUUGCAGCAGGUAAUAAGAUGAAUUUUCUGUCCUGAAGGUGCUAAUAGUCCAGUGGAAAAGGUAAAAAAAAAAAAAAAAAAAGACUAAAUCAAUAAUGUUAUAUAAUGAAUGAAGAAGGGUAAACUCUGUAAUGGAUAAUGUAAUGCUAAAAACAAAGGACAACCUGGUACAAUAAAAACAAGUUUAAAAAGUUAACAUUAAGGGGCACCUGGUGGUUUGGUCAGUUAAGCCUUCGACUCUUGAUUUCCGCUCAGGUCUUAUCUCAGGGUCGUGAGAUCGAGCCCUGCAUUGGGCUCUGCACUGAGUGUGCAGCCUCCCUGGGAUUCUCUCCCUCUGUCCCUUCCCACUCCUCUCUCUUAGAACAAAACAAAACACAAGUUAACAUCAAAAUGUCAGACGCGGGGCACCUGGGUGGCUCAGCUGGUUAAGUGUCUGCCUUCGGCUCAGGUCAUGAUCCCAGGGCCCUGGGAUCAAGCCCCGCAUCAGGCUCCCUGCUGACUGGGGAGUCCACUUCUCUAUUUCCCUCUCCCUUUGCGUGUGCUCGUGCUCUCACUCUAGCUCUCAUGACCUCUCUCAAAUAAAUAAAAAAAUCUUUAAAAAAAAUAGUCUUUUAGCCAAUAUCUUUAAAAACAAAGACUCAACCCCAUCACUGGUUUAUAGACAUCCAUCUGCCAGCUAACAGUGUGGCUAGUUCCUUUAUAUUCAGUGUGAAAUGCCUGUGGCUUAAAUGCUAAAUAUUAAUACUCUCACCCAACAUCAGCUCCUUGAAAUCACCAACUCAUUCCUGAAACAAACUGUCAUUUAUUGUGUGGCAUGAAAGGACAUUCCAGUGGACAAAAUGCAAAGUAUUGACUCUUAGGCCACUACCAGGUAAUUUAUUUUACCUGUGGUGUCUUUCAGAAGCAAUCUCCGGGGACCUGAAAGUCAACAAAUACAUGGAGGCAAAAAAUUAACUGCCAUUUUAAAAAGCCAAGGUGGUAAAAUAGAAGUUGUAUGUUAAAAUGUAUUUCUGUAUGAGGGGAAUGUUUCCUGCAGAGUCACAUGCAAUACAGGAUAUGAAAGCAAGUUAAGACUAUAAAGCACUCAAGAUAAAUGCCAGUUAUUGUCAUUCUUCUAGAGUGUGCACUUUUAUUGUAAUCAGAGAUACUGGAAGUAUGAUUAUCUCAAGCACUUAUCCCUAAAAAAAGACUGUAUCUUUAAUCUUAGAGCACAAACUGAACAUGUUAAAGAAGUCUCAGUACAAAUUAAUGUGCUACAAUAAAGAAUUGCAAUACUACUCUUCUUACUUGAGUUUCUACAAGUAUUAACAGUUUGGAGCUUGGUUCCCUUGAUUUUUUUGUCAUUGAGAAUGGAAUAUAGGGAGGAUCAAUUAACUGACUAACUGAAUCUUCUAGGUUAACAGGAAGGUGGGCAAGAAAACCAGUAUUUAGAGGUAAAUAUCAUACGGCUGUUGGGAUGAUCAUUCCCAUUUUACAGAUGAGGAGAAUGAGACUAUGAAAGCUCAAAUUCACAUGACUGAAUGAAUGACUAUAAGGCAUUUUGCCAAAGAGGAUUCUAAUUUAUCUCGUAGGCUAUUAGAAUUAUUUAGAAUCGCUGUAUUAGGGCAGCCUGGGUGGCUCAGCAGUUUAGCGCCACCUGCAGCCCAGGAUGUGAUCCUGGAGACCUGGGAUCGAGUCCCACUCGGGCUCCCUGCAUGGAGCCUGCUCCUCCCUCUCCCUACGUCUCUGCCUCUCUCUCUCUCUCUCUCUCUCUCCCUCCCCCUCUCUCUCUCUCAUGAAUAAAUAAUAAAAUCUUUAAAAAAAUAGAAUCGCUGUAUUAGUAUUAGAAUUGCCAUAUCUAAGGGACAGUUUUACAGCAGAGAAAACUGGACUGUUUUUGAAAUGAUUCAUUAGUGAUGAUACAGCCUCUUCCCUCUUGCCCCCUAAAUACUGAGUCCUUGGCCCAUCUUUCAUAAUUUAAGUUAUAGUUUAAAUACAAGGCUCUCAGAAAAUGUUGAAUAAAGAAUAGCAACAUCAGGUCAACUCCUAAAGCAAAUAACCAUUUUUUAAGUGCACCUCCUGAAAUAGUUAAGUAAGUCUUUAUUUAGAGUUUAGGGACGCCUGGGUAGCUCAGUGGUUAAGCGCCUGCCUUCCACCCAGGGUGUGAUCCUGGAGUCCCAGGAUCGAGUCCCACUCAGGGAUCCCGAACUUAUCGUUUGUUGUUGUCAAAAUCAUACACUUAUGAGAAAAUCAACUAAACCGUGCAAUGUACAGAUACACGUGCCAGACAUGUUAGCCGGAAAACAAACCAAAUGACAGUGUUUAUCAUAAUCAUCAGCACUACCCUGCAUUCAGCAGGAGCUUACGCCACAGAUGCACAUUGGCAAAUAUUAUAUUUUCAUAAUGAAUUCUUUCUUUUCUCACAAUUGGGUUUUCCUCACUGGCAUUUAUUAAAGCAAAGCUCCCACUUAGUUAAACGAAUAAUUACAAAUCCUGUGCAGUAAAACAAUGAUCCCCACUAUUACUGCCUGGUUUCCAUUUUACUCCCGUUAGUCCUGGGGGAAAAUGUCCUCUAACUUUGAGUCCACGUGGGCAAAAUGUGUCUUCUUUUCCUCAUUUUCUCCUUCCUUCUCAUCUCCUGUCUUUCACUGACUUACUUGCCUGCUGCUGCCUGUGUGUUGUAUGCCCAGAGUGGCCAGAACUGGCACAUCAGUGCCUAAAACCCAGUGGAGAAACGUUCCUUCCAAGUAAAUAUCCAGGCUGUUCUGCGGAUGUCGAACUCACAAAAUCAAGUACUGUACAGUCUUUCUGUCCAGUCUUGCUGCCGGCAGACCAUUAACAUACACAAGGACUUGUGACAAGUCAGUGGAAACUGGUCAAGAUAAUUGGGCAUGUUUAUUUAAACACUAGAAGAAGGGCUAAGCUGCUUUUUUUUUUCUUUUUUCUUAGUGCAGAUGAUUAUAGAAUUCUGUGUGGCUAUUCUCUUUGAUGUGACAAUAUUUUCAAUAGGUGCACACCAGCUACUACCUCCCACCCUCCACCUCCCCAGUGAGCAAUAGAAAUGAUUAAAUAAAGUGUCUGCAAUUGUAAAUGUGUGGGAUAAUACCCAUAAUUCCUCUGCUAGAAGACAAAAUUUACUAGCAUAUUUUUUAUUGUUGUCCCAACAGCAUGAGGACUUAGAUUUUCCUUUUAUGAUUUUGUUAGUCAUUGGAAUUAAGUAGAUCUGCUGAAAAUGAAAAGAGAAAAAAAUUACGUAAAAUUAAUUCAAAAACUAGUAGCUAGACAUGUGACAAAAGCUGUGUUGGUAUAAGUAAGUCUCAUAUGCUCAAGAUUGCAACCGUGUGACAUUACAGAGAACGUAAAACAUUGAGAAAAGAGCAUGAAGACAUUGGACAACUUAACAAGCUACAAACAUCCUAUUUUUCUCACUUCUGCCCAAAAUACUCCCUCCCCCCUCAAAAAAAAUCACAAAAAAAUACAACCCUUUGGCGGCUUGGGAGAGAGAAAAACAGAAAGGGUGGCGGGGGGGGGGGGGGGGGGGGGGAGAGAUGAUGGGAAGAGAUGAGAGAGGGAGGGGAAGAGAAAGGGAGAGAGAGAAGUUAAGGUGGUAGAGUAAGAUGUAAUCAGCUUUAUAUUGCUUAAAAUCUAAAAAAUAAAAAUACACACACCUGCACACAUACACACACACUCCAUAGAAUUAAUGAGCAUUAACAGUGUUGGUGUAACAGUGGCAUUCCUUUUCAACAGAUCAUUAUUUUUACAACUAGAACCAUUUCUAGCCACCCCAGGGCGAUGUGGGUUUCUCUUUUCUCUCAGAGGCCCAGUCUUCCCUGAAAGCUGGCUUCCAUCCUUGUUGCAGGCUGGAAAAAAGCAGGGCUGUUUGCAUGGCACAGCACCAAGCCCUUUAACUCAGAGACUCACGCCAUUUAGAAGCUCAGUUUUUACCACCUCCAUCUGCUACCCAAGAAGAAUUAGAUCUCAAUUGUCUAGGCCACUGAGAAAGGAUAUUUGUAGAAUUCCUCUGGCAUUUCCAGAGCCCUCUGGGCUUUCCAUUCAAAUGUCAGCAUUUUCUUUUCAUUCAAUAGGCUUUGCUAAACAAAAAUGCAACACUGUAUAAAAUCGUCUGAUAAAAGUAGGACAAACUCACAAUACCCACUAUAUGGGCAACCUGGCUAAUCAACUGCCAGAGGAAAUCAUGCAGCCAAAAUAUUUAGAAGAAUUCAGAAAAGUUUAGCAAUGUAGCGUAUGUAAACAAGCACAACAUAUGCAGUAGCACCAACCAAGAUAUCAGACCAAAGACUAGGAACAACUGUUAGGCUACGGGGCAAAAUCUGACUCUCUUCAUUCAGUAAGGUCAGAAAAGAAACCAUCCCUCGGGGCUGUAUCACAAAGCAAAGGGCUAGGCAUGAGAAGCCCCCAUCAGGAAAAGAAAGGACAGGGAAUGACUUGAAUUAAAGUUUUAGCGUGACACAAAAAGAAUCUUCUGAUUUGGCUAUAAUAUUAUUGACAUGAGGUCAAAGAAUGACCAUUCUCUCACUGUAAACCCUAUUCAAAAUUCCCCAGAUAUAUAUCUACAAUAACAGAACAUUCUGGAACUGACCUAGUACCUUUCUAGGGCUGCUUUCAUGCAGGAGCAUCAUGCAGUAAGCCCUGAGCAGUAUUAGAAAGCCCUUCUCCAGGUGACUGCUAGACAAUGUGGACAGAGCCCUGUCAGCCCCCAGCCAGCUUCCAGGCCCAUGUUGACUGUCACUAAGCUUCCUAAUGAUAGGCAGCAGCUGGCCUUCAGUUUUCUGAUCAGAAAACCUGGGAGGAAAGCCCAGUGAGCUAGGCAGGAUCCAAAGCGGGCAUCAGAGCCAGACACUGUGCAAAGCACCUGCAGUGCCUGGCCAACAAGAGGCCCAGAAUUUCUAACAACAAUGCAGCGCCCCACCAUUGAAUCCUAUUUCAGAAGACUUGCUUCAACAGAACAAAAAAUAUAUUUCAUGGUUCACAAACCAUCUCAGAAAUUCAUAACAUUCUUUAUAUUUUACUAAAAAUUGGGGAGACUUUCUUAUUAAUUAGUAUUAAUGUCAAAUAGGAUAGUGUACUUAUAUACAUAUGAAUACAUUUAGAUAUAUAUAAAAAAACACUUAUGUACAGAAACAAACUCAUAUAUAUACAUAUUCACACACAUAUUUUUAUAUUUAUAUAGGAUUGCCUCCAGGUGCACUCAGUUUUAGAUAUACAAAUGUAGAAUAAUUUGCUUUAUGUUUAAAUCAUUUUGAAAUCGACUGACACACACCUGAAUAUGGCUGAUCGAGCAUAAGGCUUUAUCUGUAUUGGCUGGUUCAAAAAGCUAGUUAGUUAUUCUCAAAGCACCAGCUUCUUCCAUCUAUGUAGAGUUUAAUGCUAUUGACUGAAUAUUUUAUACAUCUUCCAGAAAUAUCCCCAACUUCAGAGUUUGCACAAAACAAUUAGAUAAGGAACGUCACACCCAUGAGGCAGUUUCCCACAGGAAAUAAUCCUAAAAAUCUACAGAGGAAAUCCAGCAGAUAAGAUUCAUCCCAUUGUCUGUAAGAGUUAAUAAAAUAGACAAAAAUUUCUCAAAGUGUUUGAGAUGGAUAGAAGUAACAGAUUUUUAUAUUAAUUAUCACUUUCCUUUUAAGAAAUAAGGUUUCAAAAUGAAAAUAACUCAUUAAGGGAUUUUGUUUAAGACAGUGAUUUUAAUGAGCAGUGAGCCUGGAAAAUGGGACUUAACAUAGCUUAUCACCCUUAUUAUCAUAACCACCUAAUGAGGUGGGUAUUACUAUGACCCCCAUCUUUCAGAUGUUUAAACUGAGGCUAAAGAAGCUAUGAUCACAUGGAAAAGAUGGAGUAAUCUUGACAAUCAUACACAGAUCUGUAGGAUUCCACAACAUGCUGCCAUUACUGCAAAAUUCUGUGUUUAUUCACAAAUUCCAUACAAGGGGCUAUAAUAUAAUGUAAUCCCUUGACGAUCAAUCUCCAUGAAUGAGCACACUGACAUGAAUAAUUAAAGCCCCAAGUGCGGGAUCUUAACAUCAUUCCCCCCGCUGGGAAUCUGCCAUUGGGUCUUCUCACUUGAAUCACAGAGGGCCCAAGCAAGAGGCAGGCCAGGAGCUUACCCCGUGGCCGACACAACCCAGGAUCCUUCCUCCAGCUGUGUGUGUCCUGCCAUCACCUGACCUAACGUGCCAAAUAUAGAUUUGGGUAUGCAUCCUCUUCCAGUAAUUCCAGUAACUGCCCUAUACCUAGCCAGCUUUUUCUUCUUUGUAGAGCUUUCUGACUGUUUUAGUCUUGUAUCAUUCAGGAAUGGCAGUAGCCGACAGAUCUGAUCUUUACUAAAUGCUUACUCUCUUCCAAGCUUAUGUGAGUUAGCUCCCCUAAUGUUCUUAACAACCCUUCAGAGAAAGGCUAUGACCGUCCCUAUUCUGCAGAUGAGGAAACUAAAGCACAAGGAGACUAAGCUACCUGGUCAGGUGACAGCAGUUAAGAAAGAGCAGAAGGGUGUUUAGACCCAGCCUCCCUGACUCCAGAGCCUGCGCCUUUCACCUCAAUUCUUUGUAAAACAUACAUGGUGAAUGACUAAACGCAGGGACAGUUUCAGAUGUCCUCCACUGUGGCUCUUCAUAUUGUUCCUAUUAAAAAAUAAAUUGUUUUAAGCUAAGGCUUCAGCGAAGGACUUUAUAUAGUUUUAUGAUAAAGUCCAAACUGGUCAACUAUGUUCAGACUCUAUUCUCCAAAGACCACUGACCUCCUUGUCAGGCACAAGGGUUUUGUGGCCCUUCUCGGUGGCCUGCAGAAGUUAUCUUCUUCCAUAAUUGUAGGACUUUAGCAGCACCACUCAACAACCUACUACACACCACUCCACUAAGUGUUACAAAAAUCCAAAAAGGGGAACAAAAGUAGGUUCUUUCCAUAAGAACACUGGGACACGAUUUCUACGAAGAGUAAAAUUUUAAUUUUCUUUUGAACUAUGACCCUAAUAUAAGUUAAUACUUUCAUAUCUUAUAUCAGUAGAGUAUGGUUACAUAUGAUAUUUCUGUGUUUAUCAAUUUACCUGUAAUUUUCAGAUAUUCCCAACUGGAUACCUAGAGAGAGAGCGCGUGUGUGUGUACAUACACAUCGUGUGUACUUAUAUACUUUGUUGAUCUAACAUGGACAAAUAUUUUUUGCAAAUUUUCUUUUAAGAAAGUGUACUUGUGCAGAUUUCUUUUUCCUAAGCUGAUGUCCAGUAUAUUUGUCGGAACUCUUAGUGUUUCUUUUGUUAUCUACAAAAAUCAAUAUAAUAAAAGUGAUUUUAAAAGACCAUCCACAUUUAAGAGAAUGCUUGCUAACUAGUAGUCUCUGACCAGGCUAUGUUCUGAAAGGGGAACUAACAUUUAUAAAACCAUUUUACAGAUGAGGAAAGUUGAGACUCACUUAUAGUUAAAUCACUGAACUAAAUUCACAGAUCUAUUAGUGAGGGAACCAGGAUUUGACCUACUACCUGCCUCUUUUCAAGGCUUCUGUUUUUCCUAUUUCGUUCUACCAGGAUCUUCCUAUAGUAAAUAAAUUAUAGUUUUUUCCUAAUUCAAUCUGUUUCAGUAUUUAGAUACUUUACUUCCAGACUCGAUUAAUCUGGGCUGCUUGGCUCUGAUGGGGCUUGAUGCUCCUACACCACGUUGAGAAACUCAGAUUCCUGGAUGCUUGGCCUGUCUUUACUUCAAGUGCUGGGACAUCCCCCAACUGGAGAGUCUGUUUAGCUUGUUCCUACCCGUCAUCCCUAGGUUAUACUUUGCUCUACGCACUGCUAACUUGCAGCCCGCUGCCUUCAUCUCCUAGUGCUCGGCAUCCAGAGAACCAACUAUAACUUCAUUCCAAAAGAGAUUUAAAUUUUGGGGGAAAUUUUUUUAAAAGAAUCAGAGUUACCUAAUUUUGUUUUUCUCAUCAAACAAAAGGCAAUGCUGAGUUAAAAUUACAACUUUUAUUUUAGAAGAAGGGGGAAAAGGGAGUAUUUUUAAGUUUCAGACCUAUAUUUUUCAUGUGAACUACUUUUAUAGGUACUUACCAAAAUAAGAUCUUUACUGGAUAGAAGAUUAUGAUCAUUCACUCAUUCAUUCAACAAACACAAUAUAGGCAGAGGUUCCACUAGGCCGGACGUUAACUAAGCACUAGGGAUACAGAGAUGUUUAAGGCCUGGGACUUAAAGUGCCUGAACACUUGUAGUUACAAACAAAAGUGUCCAUGAAGAACUACAACACAAGGUGGGUUGGGAACCUCAGAGUCUGAAAUCAGCAAGGAGAUGGCAAUGAAGCUCAAUUCUAGUGCACUACUGGGUUAUUCCUAUCCUAUCCCUGGUCAUCUGUAACAGUACAGAUGUAUUGGCUCAUAACAUUAAGACAAGCUUCUCUGAGACUGUUAAAUUUGCAAAUCACUGGUAUGUAUAAAUCUAUGUUUUAAAAUGUGGGAAUUAUCAACUAAACAUUAUAAUGGGCUGCCUGAUUUUUAAAAAAGUAAAAUCAGGGGCACCUGGGUGACAUGGUUAGUUAAGCAUCUGACUCUUGGUGUCUGCUCAGUUGUGAGAUCAAGCCCCAUGUUGGGGUCUGCACUCAGCACGCAGUCUGCUUGAGAUUCUCUCUCUCUGUCUCCUGCUCAUGCUCUCUCUGUCUCUCUCUAUAUAAUAAAUAAACAGAGCCUUAAAAAAUUAAAUUCAAUUCAAAAAAAUAAAGUCAACUUAAUGGAAUCAAAACAUAUAUAUAAUCAAAACAUAUAUAUAUAUAUAUAAACUUGAUCACAGGUUUUUUUUUAUUUUUUUUAAAAGAUUUUAUUUAUUUAUUCA